rnacentral:rRNA from 1 species
GAGUUUGAUCAUGGCUCAGAUUGAACGCUGGCGGCAGGCUUAACACAUGCAAGUCGAGCGGGGACUUCGGUCCUAGCGGCGAACGGGUGAGGAAUGCUUGGGAAUCUGCCUAGUAGUGGGGGAUAACGUUUCGAAAGGAACGCUAAUACCGCAUACGCCCUACGGGGGAAAGGGGGGGAUCUUCGGACCUCUCGCUAUUAGAUGAGCCCAAGUCGGAUUAGCUAGUUGGUGAGGUAAGGGCUCACCAAGGCGACGAUCCGUAGCUGGUCUGAGAGGAUGAUCAGCCACACUGGAACCGAGACACGGUCCAGACUCCUACGGGAGGCAGCAGUGGGGAAUAUUGGACAAUGGGCGAAAGCCUGAUCCAGCCAUGCCGCGUGUGUGAAGAAGGCCUUCGGGUUGUAAAGCACUUUAAGCGAGGAGGAAUGGCUCUGGGUUAAUACCCUUGAGCAGUGACGUUACUCGCAGAAUAAGCACCGGCUAACUCUGUGCCAGCAGCCGCGGUAAUACAGAGGGUGCAAGCGUUAAUCGGAAUUACUGGGCGUAAAGCGCGCGUAGGCGGUUACGUAAGUUGGAUGUGAAAUCCCCGGGCUCAACCUGGGAAUUGCAUUCAAAACUGCGUGGCUAGAGUGUGGG